rnacentral:rRNA from 1 species
GACGAACGCUGGCGGCGUGCUUAACACAUGCAAGUCGAACGGAAAGGCCCUGCUUUUGUGGGGUUCUCGAGUGGCGAACGGGUGAGUAACACGUGAGUAACCUGCCCUUGACUUUGGGAUAACUUCAGGAAACUGGGGCUUAUACCGGAUAGGAGCUCCUGCUGCGUGGUGGGGGUUGGAAAGUUUCGGCGGUUGGGGAUGGACUCGCGGCUUAUCAGCUUGUUGGUGGGGUAGUGGCUUACCAAGGCUUUGACGGGUAGCCGGCCUGAGAGGGUGACCGGCCACAUUGGGACUGAGAUACGGCCCAGACUCCUACGGGAGGCAGCAGUGGGGAAUAUUGCACAAUGGGCGGAAGCCUGAUGCAGCAACGCCGCGUGCGGGAUGACGGCCUUCGGGUUGUAAACCGCUUUCGCCUGUGACGAAGCGUGAGUGACGGUAAUGGGUAAAGAAGCACCGGCUAACUACGUG